CUUGAAACCUAGCCUUGAGAAACUAACAAGUGCCAGUUACGCUCUAAAUGGAUAGCUGCCAAAAGGCCCCUCCCGUCGAGUGAGCUCCUCAUGUUAGCAAAAUGGCGCUAAAACCUGGAGGAGAAAAGCAUGACGUAGAUAGUGACUUAAGAUGGUACACCCCAUAGGGAGGGCAUUUUACUAACAUCUUAGCACCUAAGCCAAUUAACAAUGUCUAUUUGUCUAUAUCUUGAUUUUCUUCAAUGAUGUAAUAAUGCCUUUAAAAGGGUCUGCGCACCCAUUUUCUGUCAGAAG